AACGAACGCUGGCGGCAUGCCUAACACAUGCAAGUCGAAUGAGACCUUCGGGUCUAGUGGCGCACGGGUGCGUAACGCGUGGGAACCUGCCCUUAGGUUCGGAAUAACUCCCCGAAAGGGGUGCUAAUACCGGAUAAUGUCUUCGGACCAAAGAUUUAUCGCCUUUGGAUGGGCCCGCGUUGGAUUAGCUAGUUGGUAGGGUAAAAGCCUACCAAGGCGACGAUCCAUAGCUGGUCUGAGAGGAUGAUCAGCCACACUGGGACUGAGACACGGCCCAGACUCCUACGGGAAGCAGCAGUGGGGAAUAUUGGACAAUGGGCGAAAGCCUGAUCCAGCAAUGCCGCGUGAGUGAUGAAGGCCUUAGGGUUGUAAAGCUCUUUUACCCGGGAUGAUAAUGGCAGUACCGGGAGAAUAAGCUCCGGCUAACUCCGUG
rnacentral:rRNA from 1 species